AUCUUCAAAAUUUCCCGUCUUAAUUUAUUUGGGUUAAUUACAUGUAAGUUCAUUUUAAGGUGUUAUUUUAGCUUAAGGGCCACUAAAUAUUUUCUUCAUUCAUAAAACCUCUCUCUCUCUCUCUCUCUCUCUCUCUCUCUUCGCCUGCACUUUCUUCCGUCACGGCACUCUCGUUGGGGCUUAGUCUCAACACGGUGGAAUCUGGCAUUUCAAGCAGUGGGCAUAAUUUGAAGAGAAGGAAUCCGGAGCUAUAACUCAAUUUUCCAAUCAAUUCAACGAAUGGAGAAGGGGAUAAUGGUGAAGAUGGUGAUAGUGAUGGAGACGAUGAUGAAGACGUAGAAGAAGAACCCAUAGUGAGGACAAGAAGAUAGAAGCACACAGUAGCAAGAAAAUCUAAAAAAGGCAGAGCUUCUGAAAAAGAGGAAACAAAAGGACAAGCAACAAGAAGCAAAAGGGUAAAAAAAAAA